CCUACGGGUGGCAGCAGUGAGGAAUAUUGGUCAAUGGACGAGAGCCUGAACCAGCCAAGUAGCGUGAAGGAUGACUGCCCUACGGGUUGUAAACUUCUUUUAUAAAGGAAUAAAAUGAGGCACGUGUGCCUUUUUGUAUGUACUUUAUGAAUAAGGAUCGGCUAACUCCGUGCCAGCAGCCGCGGUAAUACGGAGGAUCCGAGCGUUAUCCGGAUUUAUUGGGUUUAAAGGGAGCGUAGAUGGGUUGUUAAGUCAGUUGUGAAAGUUUGCGGCUCAACCGUAAAAUUGCAAUUGAUACUGGCAGUCUUGAGUACAGUUGAGGUAGGCGGAAUUCGUGGUGUAGCGGUGAAAUGCUUAGAUAUCACGAAGAACCCCGAUUGCGAAGGCAGCCUACUAAACUGUGACUGACAUUGAUGCUCGAAAGUGUGGGUAUCAAACAGGAUUAGAUACCCGGGUAGUC
rnacentral:rRNA from 1 species